GCAGUUCUGUGCAGCUGCUUAUAUAUGUAUAUAAGCAAAUGAAUUAAGACUUUAAUCCAUCCACUUGAUUGUUUUGCAGUGCACAUCAGCUCUCAUGAUUACUGACAUUUACCCUCCAAAACAAGCAGAACUCUGGGGAAGAGGAACUUCUGUCUCAGCGCAACCUUCAAAACUGUAACACCACAGGACUCCUCUGUCUCAGUCUUUCUACAUCUGCAAGAUAUGAUCUUCAAGCAGUUAAUUGGCUCUCCUGGGAACAGCUGCACAGAACCAAAGGUACUUAUAGGAGGUUGGGAGAUGGUACCCAAAUUAAAUAUGUCAUUCACUAUUCACCUGAAUCAUGUUCUCUACAUGACACUCAUGGAGAAAUAAUUGCUGUGAGCCUAGCAAGAAGAGCAAUCAAUAUUUUCCAGGCCGUGCUGUGUAAGGUUGUACCAAUGUCUCUCUGGAGGGUGAUAACAGAAAGAACCCAGCCCACAGCCAGUGGAGGUAUAGAAUAGAAGUGGUAAUCCCAGCAGCUUUGGUAGUAAGUAGAUAAUUCUGUGUAAUACCAUGUCCUGUC
rnacentral:lncRNA from 1 species